UAAGAAAAGCCUUUCUUUCGUUCUUUUUAUUCUCUCUCUCUUUGUUUAGCCUUUUCAAAUUUCUAAUCUUUAUUUGGUUCUUUUAUGAUGUCAAUGGGUUUUCAUUCUUUCAACGAUUUGUUCCGUUUUCAAAAUGGCGAUUGUUCAGAUUAUAAUGAUUGAUUGGAGAACUAUGUGAUGAAUAUGGCAAUGUUUUUCUUGAAUUUGAUGGAUGAGGAGAUGAGGUUUCUUAUUUGUCUAAAAAUUUACGCUGUUCUGGAUUUGGUCUCUUUUUGGUGUUUUUCGUUGAAAGCUCGACCAUUUUUUUUUACCUUGAAUGCUUUGCACAGUGGGUGCCAAUGAUGUUAAACUUUGUGAAAUUA
rnacentral:misc_RNA from 1 species